UAGCCCAGUCGUGGGGGAGUAACGCAGCGAAAGCUGUGCUAAUACCGCAUACGAUCUAUGGAUGAAAGCGGGGGACUCGCAAGGGCCUCGCGCGAUUGGAGCGGCCGAUGGCAGAUUAGGUAGUUGGUGGGGUAAAGGCUCACCAAGCCUGCGAUCUGUAGCUGGUCUGAGAGGACGACCAGCCACACUGGGACUGAGACACGGCCCAG
rnacentral:rRNA from 1 species